GUGAGUGUAGCUCAGUUGGUAGAGCACUGGAUUGUGGCUCCAGUGGUCGUGGGUUCGAUCCCCAUCACUCACCCCA
rnacentral:tRNA from 1 species